rnacentral:rRNA from 1 species
CGCGGUAAUACGUAGGGGGCAAGCGUUAUCCGGAAUCACUGGGCGUAAAGGGUCCGCAGGUGUCCCGUUAAGUUAGAUGUUAAAUCGCAAGGCUCAACCUUGCGGCUGCAUCUAAUACUGACAGGAUAGAGGAUAGGUGACGGAAGUGGAAUUCCUGGUGGAGAGGUAAAAUCCGUAGAUAUCAGGAGGAACACCCGUGGCGUAGGCGGCUUCCGAACCUAUUCCUGACACUCAGGGACGAAAGCUAGGGGAGCAAACAGGAUUAGAUACCCUGGUAGUCCUAGCUGUAAACGAUGAAUACUAGAUAGUGGGUGCUACACCGUACUCACCGUCGUAGCUAACGCGUUAAGUAUUUCGCCUGGGAACUACGAUCGCAAGUUUGAAACUCAAAGGAAUUGACGGGUCCCCGCACAAGCAGCGAGGCAUGUGGCUUAAUUCGAUGCAACACGAAGAACCUUACCUGGACUUGACAUGUUUCUGAAAGGCCGGAGAAACCCGGUCCCUUCCAGUUUACUGGAACAGUUUCACAGGUGGUGCAUGGUUGUCGUCAGCUCGUGUCGUGAGAUGUAAGGUUAAGUCCUUAAACGAGCGUAACCUUUGUCAUUAGUUGCCACCGGUUCGGCCGAGCACUCUAAUGAGACCGCUAGCGACAAGCUAGAGGAAGAUGGAGAUGACGUCAAAUCCUCACGUCCCUUAUGUCCAGGGCCGCACACAUGCGACAAUGGUAGAGACAGCGGGUUGCGACGGGGUAACCCUGAGCUAAUCCAUAAACUCUGCCUCAGUACAGAUCGAGGGCUGAAAUUCGACCUCGUGAAGAUGGAGUUGCUAGUAAACGCAGGUCAGCUAUACUGCGUUGA